rnacentral:ncRNA from 2 species
GAAGCUUUUUGGAGAAAAGAAAAAGAACAGCAGCUAUUACAUGAUAAACAGAUGGAAGAUCAACAACCCCUCCCCGUCGUAAACGCUGAGGAAUGAUGUGGCAAGAAUGCCAUGAUGUUCUUUAAAAAAAUUCCAUGAGUUUUAAGGGCUUGUCUCAUUAUAGAGGCACAUUGUGGCUGUGUAGGUGAAACCAGAAUCUUUUUUUUUUUUAAUCUGUAAAUAGGUGUACUUUUUCCAAUGCUGCUCCAAGUUACUUAAUAGGAUUUCUUUGUAUUACGUUUUUUUCAAAAAAUAUAGUGCAUAAUAAGACUAUAAACAUGCCAUUCUCUUUCAGCUGUAAUGUUCUUAAAAUUAUUCUUGAAUGUACUGUGAUGUCAAUAAAGCUCUUUAGUUCA